rnacentral:rRNA from 1 species
UACGGGGGGGGUAAGCGUUGUUCGGAAUUACUGGGGGUAAAGGGCUCGUAGGCGGCCAACUAAGUCGGAUGUGAAAUCCCCAGGCUCAACCUGGGAACUGCAUCCGAUACUGGAUGGCUUGAAUUCGGGAGAGGGAUGCAGAAUUCCAGGUGUAGCGGUGAAAUGCGUAGAUAUCUGGAGGAAUACCGGUGGCGAAGGCGGCAUCCUGGACCGACAUUGACGCUGAUGAGCGAAAGCUAGGGGAGCAAACGGG